UGGGGAAUAUUGGACAAUGGGCGAAAGCCUGAUCCAGCCAUGCCGCGUGUGUUAAGAAGGUCUUCGGAUUGUAAAGCACUUUAAGUUGGGAGGAAGGGCAGUAAGCGAAUACCUUGCUGUUUUGACGUUACCGACAGAAUAAGCACCGGCUAACUCUGUGCCAGCAGCCGCGGUAAUACAGAGGGUGCAAGCGUUAAUCGGAAUUACUGGGCGUAAAGCGCGCGUAGGUGGUUCGUUAAGUUGAAUGUGAAAGCCCCGGGCUCAACCUGGGAACUGCAUCCAAAACUGGCGAGGUAGAGAAGGGCAGAGGGUGGUGGAAUUUCCUGUGUAGCGGUGAAAUGAGUAGAUAUAGGAAGGAAAACCAGUGGCGAAGGCGACCACCUGGGAUCAUACUGACACUGAGGUGCGAAAGCGUGGGGAGCAAACAGG
rnacentral:rRNA from 1 species